GACGAACGCUGGCGGCGUGCCUAAUACAUGCAAGUUGAGCGAUGAAGAUUGGUGCUUGCACCAAUUUGAAGAGCAGCGCACGGGUGAGUAACGCGUGGGGAAUCUGCCUUUGAGCGGGGGACAACAUUUGGAAACGAAUGCUAAUACCGCAUAAUAACUUUAAACAUAAGUUUUAAGUUUGAAAGAUGCAAUUGCAUCACUCAAAGAUGAUCCCGCGUUGUAUUAGCUAGUUGGUGAGGUAAAGGCUCACCAAGGCGAUGAUACAUAGCCGACCUGAGAGGGUGAUCGGCCACAUUGGGACUGAGACACGGCCCAAACUCCUACGGGAGGCAGCAGUAGGGAAUCGUCGGCAAUGGACGAAAGUCUGACCGAGCAACGCCGCGUGAGUGAAGAAGGGUUUCGGAUCGUAAAACUCUGUUGGUAGAGAAGAACGUUGGUGAGAGUGGAAAGCUCAUCAAGUGACGGUAACUACCCAGAAAGGGACGGCUAACUACGUG
rnacentral:rRNA from 1 species